rnacentral:lncRNA from 1 species
GAGACGUCAUUGCAGAUCUACCAUUAAUGAGACUGAGGCUUCAACUUUGCCUAGUAAAAAAUAAAUAAGGGGUAUAGAAGUAAUUAUAGUUUAUCAUUGUCUUCAAUGAAGGCUUUCUCUCCAACUGAGAUUCAUUCUUUCAUUUAGUAGUUUAAUGAAAGAGAAAAAAACCAAACUGAGAAGGAGACAAUGAACACGACGAAGGAUGCUAUACUAUCUGCGACCUCUAACCGUUUUCGGAGAAGAACAGAACUCUCUGUGUUUCUGCUCUUCCAAAUCUGCUUAUUGCAGCGGAAGAUUUCUUCAUUUCUCACGUUCGCAACCACCGCAACGUCUCUUUCACGAUAAGAAUUCCUCAGAUCUUUGUUUAGAUAGAUCUCUGUGUUCAAACUAUUGUUAAAUCGAUUGUGUUCAAACAUCAAUUUCAAUUCAAUUUCAUCGGUUAUGAACGUAACUGUUUGUGUUUCUCGUCUUCCAAAUCGCUUAUUGCAGCGGAAGAUUUCUUCAUUUCUCACAAUUGCAAUCACCGCGCAACGUCUCUUUCACGGUAAGAAUUCCUCAGAUCUAUGUUUUUUCUCUGUGUUCAGACUAUUGUUAAAUCGAUUGAUACACUGUAUUUUUUUAUUUCCCUGUGUAUAUCAAAUUUCAAUCUGUGCUGAUUUUCAGCUAGUUAGUUUAUGUGUUUCUGACUUUUUAAUUGAAAAUUUUAAUUCAUUAUUUAGCAAGCGCUUAUCAAACCAGUGGCAUUAACUGAAAAGUAGUAAUUUGAAGAACAAAGUCAUAGAUAGAUAGAUAGAUAGAUAGAUAGAUAGAUAGAUAGAUAGAUAGAUAGGUAGAUAGAUAGAUAGCUAGAUAGGUAGGUAGAUAGGUAGGUAGGUAGGAAAGGUUUUCAUUGUAGGUCAUGUAUAAAUAAACUGAGCCUUGACCAAAGUUCCAGAGUAUAAUAAACUAUAAGCCAUGUAAUUAAACUACUCUCUCCAAAAUGGAGCUUUGAGCAAAGUUCCAAAUAGAUGCAUAUUUAGUCCCUUUUCAAUAAAAGUGAGCAUACGACUCUAAAUCAUUUUUUUUGUUUUAAGAAAUGAACAAAGAAUCAAUAGAUUUCAAUAAUGACUAAAGUCAUAAAGAAAAUAAGUAAAAAUAAAAUACUACUCCGUCCCAAAAUAUAAGUAAAAGGAGGUCAACAAAAGUGAAUGUAUCUGGACUAAAUUUUAAACCAAAUAUAUCAACUUUCAUUGACCUCAUAAGGAAGUGUUAUGCUCUUUGUCAUUAGUUAUAAAUAACUCCUUUCUUUUGAAAUUUGA